ACUCACUUCAGCAGAAUCUACACUAAAAUUGGAAUGAUGCAAAGAAGAUUAGCAUGGCCCUUGUGCAAGGAUGACAUGCAAAUUCGUAAAGCAUCCCAUCUUGUU
rnacentral:snRNA from 1 species